GGCAAGGAGGUAAAAUUC
rnacentral:misc_RNA from 1 species